CCUGGUUUACAUCUUUAAAUGUCCAGUGACGAGCGCUCCGAGGGCCUCAGCCAAUCAAAAGUCUUCCAGUGUGACCCGACGUGACGCCGCCAGCCAAUAGGAUCGCGCCUUGCGUUGACGGAGGAAACAUGGCGCUACACAUAGCCCGAGCUUGCAGGAAGGAGUCGGUUCAGUUGACCCAUAGGCUGCUUCUAGCGGUAUGGCACCAAAGCAGUUGGCGAUGUCACCAUACCUCAGGAACAUCUCUGAAGUACAUACCGCGACGGGCCGUUCUUUAUGUACCAGGCAACGACGAGCGCAAGCUUAGGAAGCUCAUCUCGCUAGAUGUGGACUGUGCUGUUCUGGACUGCGAGGAUGGCGUUGCCCUUAAUAAGAAGGCAGCAGCACGGGAAACGAUCCCAAAGAUACUGGCAGAGCUGAAUCUGGGGCGUACAGAGAAGUGCGUACGGGUGAACUCCGUGUCCAGCGGUCUGGCUGAAGCUGACCUGGAGGUCAUUCUGCAGGCAGAGGUCCUGCCCCCAGCACUCAUGCUGCCAAAGGUGGAGGACACUGGAGAAGUGCAGUGGUUUGUUGACAGGUUUCAGCAUCACUUAAAAGGCCGGAAGCUGAUGGAACCCAUUCGCUUAGUCACCUUUGUAGAAACUGCUGUGGGGUUGCUGAAUUUUAAGGCUGUGUGUGAAGAGAUCCGGCAGCUCGGACCAAAAGUUGGUCUGCAUCACGACGGAGUGGUGUUCGGCUCCGAUGACUUCUGUGCCAGCAUAGGGGCCACAAGGACCAAAGAUGCCCGAGAGCUGCUGUAUGCACGUCAGAAAGUUGUGGUCACUACUAAAGCUUUUGGCCUCCAGGCUAUUGACCUUGUUUACAUUGACUACCAGGAUGGAGAAGGGCUGCGGCAACAGGCCAGAGAGGGCGCACUCAUGGGCUUCACUGGAAAACAAGUGAUCCACCCAAACCAAAUCAAGGCUGUACAAGAGGAGUUCUCCCCUAGUCCUGAGAGAGUCAAAUGGGCUACUCAGUUAAUUGCUGCAUUUGAGGAUCAUCAGAAGAUGGGGAAGCCUUUUCCGUGCAGCUAAAGAAGAGCGUCUUGGUGGAGAACAGUGUUUUCACAAAUCUCCAACUGACACGAAUAAAACACACAACACUGCUUUUAGCCACAAGCUUCCUGAAAGGGGCGCGUUCACCUUCCAUGGCAGUAUGAUUGACAUGCCGUCAUUGAAGCAGGCCCAGAACAUCGUCACCUUGGCCUCAGCCGUCCAGGGGAAAUGAGCCAAACUGGGGCUGUGCGGGCAGCCAUAUCUGUCACUGUGCAGGGCAUCGGAUGAUAAACUGGGAAGUCCAGACAGACAUGUGUCCUCUCGGAUCAUUAGCUGUAGCUCUAACGUUGUCUAAAAUCAGCAGUAGCAAGUGGCCUGAUGGCAUAGUCUGCAAUUUCAAAGCGUUAUUAGUGUGUAUCUAUGUUUAUGAUUUUUUAAAUUUAAUUUACAUGUUUACAUUCAUAUAUAAAUUUAUCACACACACACACACACACACACACACACACACACACACACAUACAGUAUGGUGCAAAAGUCAGAGACCGCCCUUCAUUUAUUGUUACCAGUUAAAAAUAACUUUUUAAGUUCACAUAAAUUUUUCAGCAAAUAUUGCUGCGCAGAUUAGAUGUGAGAUAAUGCACUUGCACAAGGAAGGGGGGAAUACAAAUAAAAAGAACUGAAAAAAUCCACAGAUGUUUCUGUCCAUCCUUCCACAGUGAGAAGACAACUCAGCACUGAGUCUGAAAAAUGUGUGGCUGUCAAGAAGCCCUCGCUGAGAAGAGGUAAUGGACAAAAAAGAACAUUUACAAGUCAUACAAAGAAGCAUACAAAGGAUUACUUGGUUCAUGUGAAGCGGAAAAUUCUAAGACUAAACUUUGGAGAUGUGUAAAAAUAUCCCUGCAGAUUUGAAAAACUGAAAGCAGGUCUUCCAGUAAGAUUGGAAGCUGUAGUAACUGCAAAGGAUGGACACUCUAUAUAGUGAAAAAUAUAUUUAGUUGUUGAGGCUUCUGUGCAGUUUUCUGUUGAAUAUGUUCUGUUUUUUGUCCUGAUGCUGAAAAAUUACUUGUACGUAAUGGUGAUUUUGAAUGGAAAUAAAAUUAAUAAA